GAUUCUGGCUCAGGACGAACGCUGGCGGCGUGCUUAACACAUGCAAGUCGAACGGGGAUUAAGUUGGAAGGGCUUCGGCCCGGAAGAUUAAUUCGAGUGGCGGACGGGUGAGUAACGCGUGAGCAACCUGUCCCAGACAGGGGGAUAACACUUGGAAACAGGUGCUAAUACCGCAUAAGACCACGGGGUCGCAUGGCUCUGGGGUAAAAGGAGCAAUCCGGUUUGGGGUGGGCUCGCGUCCGAUUAGAUAGUUGGUGAGGUAACGGCCCACCAAGUCGACGAUCGGUAGCCGACCUGAGAGGGUGAUCGGCCACAUUGGAACUGAGAGACGGUCCAAACUCCUACGGGAGGCAGCAGUGGGGAAUAUUGGGCAAUGGGCGAAAGCCCUGACCCAGCAACGCCGCGUGAGUGCAGAAGGCCUUCGGGUUGUAAAGCUCUGUUAUAGGGGACGAAGGAAGUGACGGUACCCUAUAAGGAAGCCCCGGCUAACUACGUGCCAGCCGCCGC
rnacentral:rRNA from 1 species